rnacentral:rRNA from 1 species
CAGUAGCCACGGGAAUACGUAGGGUGCAAGCGUUAAUCGGAAUUACUGGGCGUAAAGCGUGCGCAGGCGGUUAUAUAAGACAGAUGUGAAAUCCCCGGGCUCAACCUGGGAACUGCAUUUGUGACUGUAUAGCUAGAGUACGGCAGAGGGGGAUGGAAUUCCGCGUGUAGCAGUGAAAUGCGUAGAUAUGCGGAGGAACACCGAUGGCGAAGGCAAUCCCCUGGGCCUGUACUGACGAUCAUGCACGAAAGCGUGGGGAGCAAACAGGAUUAGAUACCCGCGUAGUCCCUGUCUCUUAUAC